UACGUAGGGGGCUAGCGUUGUCCGGAAUCAUUGGGCGUAAAGGGCGCGUAGGUGGCCUGCUAAGCGUGCGGUGAAAGCUCGGGGCUCAACCCCGAGUCGGCCGUGCGAACUGGUGGGCUUGAGCACUGUAGAGGCAGGCGGAAUUCCGGGUGUAGCGGUGGAAUGCGUAGAGAUCCGGAAGAACACCGGUGGCGAAGGCGGCCUGCUGGGCAGUAGCUGACACUGAGGCGCGACAGCGUGGGGAGCAAACAGG
rnacentral:rRNA from 1 species